GACGUGAAACUGUUCAGAGGUAAACGGGUGGGCCCUCGAAGUCCAGUGGCGAGAGGAUUCAGUUCGAAGGGUCGCACGCUUGCGCCGGUUCAAACCGGGGGUUCCCUCGUCCUGAGGACCCGCUAGCGCUCGCGGUAUGCGGCUCGACCGACGCAUUUCCUCUCGUCCGCAAGGACGCCGCAGCCGGUCGGGUACAUCCCAAGUACGGCCUGGAGACGUCGACCAACGCAGGUGGCCGGUGAAGGCGGUUCGUCCGCGUCGCCGGUUUUAGCAGGUCCGUCGAUGGCACGUCACCCGAUCGAGGCCAAGUCGGCUCCCUUUCGGGGGGGCACGAUCGCCUCCUCCCCUAGAUGAGAGCGGAAGCGGCCGGCAGACGUAUAGGGGCUCGAUGCCUGCGCCACAUACUCCGUUGUGGCCGGCUCGCUCACGUCGUGGUUGGUCGGCCUGGCGUCCGCGGGAGGUACGGUGGCUCGCGGUGAGUAGAUCGGUCACCCACCCGACCCGUCUUGAAACACGGACCAAGGAGUCUAACAUGUGCGCGAGUCAAUGGGACUUGCAUAGGCCCAUGGGCGUAACGAAAGUGAAGCUCCCGGCGUCCUGCCGGGAGAAAAAGUUGGGAUUCCCCGUCCWUCGCGGCGGGGACGCACCAACGACCCGUCCUAUCCGCUUCAUCGGUUGGACGGAGUCUGAGCGUACACGUUGGGACCCGAAAGAUGGUGAACUAUGCCUGGGCAGGACGAAGCCAGAGGAAACUCUGGUGGAGGUCCGUAGCGGUUCUGACGUGCAAAUCGAUCGUCAGACCCGGGUAUAGGGGCGAAAGACCAAUCGAACUAUC
rnacentral:rRNA from 1 species